GAUCAAGGGGAUGAUGUUUUCCUAUGUGAAUAUGAAUAUGAUAUUCAAUGGCACAGUUUCAAGCGUCUAGCUGAGAUU
rfam:Gossypium raimondii Chr04_contig_37, whole genome shotgun sequence.